rnacentral:rRNA from 1 species
GAUGAACGCUGGCGGCGUGCCUAAUACAUGCAAGUCGAGCGAACGGACGAGAAGCUUGCUUCUCUGAUGUUAGCGGCGGACGGGUGAGUAACACGUGGAUAACCUACCUAUAAGACUGGGAUAACUUCGGGAAACCGGAGCUAAUACCGGAUGAUAUUUUGAACCGCAUGGUUCAAAAGUGAAAGACGGUCUUGCUGUCACUUAUAGAUGGAUCCGCGCUGCAUUAGCUAGUUGGUAAGGUAACGGCUUACCAAGGCAACGAUGCAUAGCCGACCUGAGAGGGUGAUCGGCCACAUGGGAACUGAGACACGGUCCAGCCUCCUACGGGAGGCAGCAGUAGGAAAUCUUCCGCAAUGGGCGAAGGCCUGACGGAGCAACGCCGCGUGAGUGAUGAAGGUCUUCGGAUCGUAAAACUCUGUUAUUAGGGAAGAACAUAUGUGUAAGUAACUGUGCACAUCUUGACGGUACCUAAUCAGAAAGCCACGGCUAACUACGU